rnacentral:misc_RNA from 1 species
CGAGCGUCAUUGCACCCCUCAAGCGUAGCUGGUAUUGGGCCCUCGCCGCUCCGGCGGGCCCGAAAGUCAGUGGCGGUCCCGUGUGGCUUCGAGCGUAGUAAACAAAUCUCCCGCUUUGGAGGCCCACGCGGCGACCGGCCAGAACGCCCAACUUUCCAAUGAUUGACCUCGGAUCAGGUAGGGAUACCCGCUGAACUUAA